rnacentral:rRNA from 1 species
GGUGGUGCAUGGUUGUCGUCAGCUCGUGUCGUGAGAUGUUGGGUUAAAUCCCGCAACGAGCGCAACCCUUAUUAUCAGUUGCCAGCAUUAAGUUGGGCACUCUGGUGAGACUGCCGGUGACAAACCGGAGGAAGGUGGGGAUGACGUCAAAUCAUCAUGCCCCUUAUGACCUGGGCUACACACGUGCUACAAUGGAUGGUACAACGAGUUGCGAACUCGCGAGAGUAAGCUAAUCUCUUAAAGCCAUUCUCAGUUCGGAUUGUAGGCUGCAACUCGCCUACAUGAAGUCGGAAUCGCUAGUAAUCGCGGAUCAGCAUGCCGCGGUGAAUACGUUCCCGGGUCUUGUACACAC